rnacentral:rRNA from 1 species
CGGGUUUUCCAAACCCUUGGGUGCAGACCACGCGUGAACAGCUUAGACUUCGGUCUUUGCAAUUGCUUGGGUGUCGAAAGGCGCCCAAUCUUUAAAACUUUUAUAUUUGUUCUGAAACAAUGAAAAUUUAAAACUUUCAACAACGGAUCUCUUGGUUCUCGUAUCGAUGAAGAACGCAGCAAAGCGCGAUAGGUAAUGCGAAUUGCAGACGUGAGUCAUUGAAUUUUUGAACGCAUAUUGCGCUAUUAGUUUGUCUAAUAGCAUGCUUGUUGGAGUGAUAAUCUUCCUCUCAACCAUUUUUGGUAUGAGGUCUUGCUCCUUUUAGGAGUUAAAAUCAUGGAAGUGCACACGUUAAUUAACUCUGUGCAGUUAUACACUUUUCAUCCUCCAAUCAAGCAAGGUUACCCGCUGAACUUAAGCAUAUCAAUAAGCGGAGGA